rnacentral:rRNA from 1 species
AACGUAGGAGACAAACGUUAUCCGGAGUUACUGGGCGUAAAGGGCGUGUAGGUGGUUUCGUAAGUCUGGCGUGAAAUUUUUCGGCUUAACCGGGAAAGGUCGUCGGAUACUGCGGAACUAGAGGACGGUAGAGGCGUGUGGAAUUCCGGGUGUAGUGGUGAAAUUCGUAGAUAUUCGGAAGAACACCAGUGGCGAAGGCGGCUCACUGGACCGGUAUUGACGCUGAGGUGCGAAAGCGUGGGGAGCAAACAGG